rnacentral:snRNA from 1 species
AUGCUUACUUCGGCAUCAUAUAUACUAAAAUUGGAACGAUACAGAGAUUAGCAUGGCCCUUGCACAAGGAUGACAUGCAAAUUUGUAAAGUGUUCCAUAUUAAA